rnacentral:rRNA from 1 species
UACAGAGGGGGGCAAGCGUUGUUCGGAAUUACUGGGCGUAAAGGGCGCGUAGGCGGCCCUUCUAAGUCGAACGUGAAAUCCCCUGGGCUCAACCCAGGAACUGCGUCCGAUACUGGAAGGCUUGAAUCCGGGGAGAGGGAUGCGGAAUUCCAGGUGUAGCGGUGAAAUGCGUAGAUAUCUGGAGGAACACCGGUGGCGAAGGCGGCAUCCUGGACCGGUAUUGACGCUGAGGCGCGAAAGCCAGGGGAGCAAACGGG